rnacentral:rRNA from 1 species
GACGAACGCUGGCGGUGUGCUUAACACAUGCAAGUCGAACGGUAAGGCCCUUUCGGGGGUCCACGAGUGGCGAACGGGUGAGUAACACGUGAGUAAUCUGCCCUCAUCUCUGGGAUAACAGUCGGAAACGGUUGCUAAUACUGGAUAUGAGCCUGCAAGGCAUCUUGUGGGUUGGAAAGAUUUUUUGGUUGGGGAUGGACUCGCGGCCUAUCAGCUUGUUGGUGAGGUAGUGGCUCACCAAGGCUUCGACGGGUAGCCGGCCUGAGAGGGCGACCGGCCACAUUGGGACUGAGAUACGGCCCAAACUCCUACGGGAGGCAGCAGUGGGGAAUAUUGCACAAUGGACGGAAGUCUGAUGCAGCAACGCCGCGUGCGGGAUGACGGCCUUCGGGUUGUAAACCGCUUUCAAUUGUGACGAAGCUUUUUGUGACGGUAGCAGUAGAAGAAGCACCGGCUAACUACGUG